CCCAGGUGGAACAUUGCCCCUCUGGUCACCUCGAAGCAGUCCUCUGAAAAGCCAAACAGUGCUCUUGAAAAAGCCAAGCACACAAACAGGGGCAAGCAGAACAUCUCAGCACAUCCAAUCCAGCUGGAAUGGUGAAGCACAUGCCAAGACAAGACAGUUUCUACACAAAGCCACAGAGAUGGAAACUGGCCAGGCCAGAACCAGCUAUUUUAAACCAGUUUCUUUCAGAAUUUGGCAGCCAGCGGUACUCGGCCCCUUCUGGAAGGUUCCACUCCAGCCUCUCCUCUGCAGUAGCACCUUUUGUGAUCUGGAGACAGAAAACAAGAUCGAGAUGAGAGCUUGCAGAAAAAAAAAAAAAAAAAAGGAAAAUAGUAACAGUUUAAGCUGCCAGCAAACCAGAAUACACUCUAAGGACAUAGAAAAUUCUGUGGCAGAAUUCAGAAAUAAGCUUUAUGGAACAAGAUAAUAAAGAUUUAAAGGAAGAAGACAGCAG